rnacentral:rRNA from 1 species
AUCUGUGGCCAUACCACUUUGAAUGUGCUUGAUCUCAUCUGAUUUCUAAACUUAAAAAGAGGGGCAGGCAGAGUUAGUUGUUAUACGCCUUUUACUCUUAACCUUUCCAGGUU